AGUGAACGCUGGCGGUAGGCCUAACACAUGCAAGUCGAACGGCAGCACAGUAAGAGCUUGCUCUUACGGGUGGCGAGUGGCGGACGGGUGAGGAAUACAUCGGAAUCUACUUUUUCGUGGGGGAUAACGUAGGGAAACUUACGCUAAUACCGCAUACGACCUACGGGUGAAAGCAGGGGAUCUUCGGACCUUGCGCGAUUGAAUGAGCCGAUGUCGGAUUAGCUAGUUGGCGGGGUAAAGGCCCACCAAGGCGUCGAUCCGUAGCCGGUCUGAGAGGAUGAUCAGCCACACUGGAACUGAGACACGGUCCAGACUCCUACGGGAGGCAGCAGUGGGGAAUAUUGGACAAUGGGCGCAAGCCUGAUCCAGCCAUACCGCGUGGGUGAAGAAGGCCUUCGGGUUGUAAAGCCCUUUUGUUGGGAAAGAAAAGCAGCAGGUUAAUACCCCGCUGUUCUGACGGUACCCAAAGAAUAAGCACCGGCUAACUUCGUG
rnacentral:rRNA from 1 species